AUAUAUAUAAAUAAUAUGUAGUUUGUAUAAUAUGUAGUCACACAAUGACUUUUUAAAAUCAUUCAUUUUUUUUAUGAUAUUGUGAUUGCAUGUAUCAACCAGAGCAGCAUUUACUUUACAUCUUAGCCUAGUAACGUUAGUUAUUCAUAUUAUAAUAUGUAGUUUGGUGAUCUAUUAUUUUUUUAUUUGUUCUUCUCUUUCUCUGCAGGUUCCUUAAUCCCUCACCUUUAAAAAAAAAAAAAAAAAAACAGCACCUCACUACAUUAAAAAGGCACUUUUAAGAGCCACAUUUGUCUUGUAUCUUGUUACUCUCUUUACUGUUGUAUUGUUUUCUAUCUCUUGCUGUCUUAAUGUCUCCCCCCCCCCAUUCCUCUGAGUGUGGUUUUUGUUUGUUUGUUUUGUCUUUUUUUUUGUCCGUGUGUUUAUAGUGUGUUUAUCUUUUGUGCCAUGUCUGAUCCUGAGAUGGACUGUCUCCUAAAUGAGAUGAGUGACCUUGUCGAUCAGGCUGAACAUCAAGCUCACCUCCGACAGCUCAUUAGCAUGCACCAGGAAGCAGAGCCAUCCACCAGUCAGCCUUCCACCUGUAAUCCAUCCACCAGCCAGCCAUCAAACAGCAAGCAAGAUGUUAGGUGGAUUAAGAGGGACAGUGAUGGAAACAUUAUUUACAGCAGGCCCAGAUCAUCCCGGAAACAAGCAGGUACAAGUCACAGCCAGAGUCGAAAGACUGGUGUCUCUCAUAUCAGGGCUCCGGAAACCAGUGCGGAAAUGACCAGUGACUUUCUUUCCAUUACUGCAGAGUCCUUCCUUCAAGAGCUUAAAAGCUCACUGUUUGAGGACAUACAUGAGGAUGAAACGGCACUUCAAGCCUCAACAGACUGGUUGACCCGAAAGAACCUCAUAUCAGGGUGGUGGGAGAAAGAGAGACCCCGACUGGUCAACACCAUGGUGGCUCGACAACAUGUGGCAACCCGGAUCUGCCAACAUUGUGGAAAUGGUCCAGCCGUUAUCCGUUGUUGUGACUGCCGACCACACCCAUUCCUCUGUGGCCAGUGUGAUGUCAGGGUCCACCGAGGUCACGUGUUCCACAACAGGGAUUCGAUGACCCAUGCAUUCUUUAAUCCAUUGCCUCCCACAACUUGUGUUGUGGAGAGGGUUCUAACCCAGUGUGGUAAGUUGUAG
rnacentral:lncRNA from 1 species